UUUUCUUUUCUUUUCUCUCAUAUACUCCUCUGUAUCACUUGCUCAUCCUCUCCCACCGGUACCUCCAUACCACCAUCUCUACCAUCAUUUUUCCUGCAAUGUCACUAGAAAAUCCUUAAGAACCUCUAAGCAUUUUACUCUUUUAUUUGAGGUUUGCUUGAUAUUGUUGAGAUUCUAGCUAAUCUCCUUUGGAGCUUGGAGAAUUAGGCUUUUUGCGGUUGCAAGGUAAGUAGCUUUUUAAUGGGAAUUUGAAAAAUAACCAUGUUGUAUAAAUGUUAUUUUUGGGUUAGACUCGCUUUUGGAAACUACUUAUGGAAACUAUAUUUUCCUAAAAACUAUUGUGUCAUAAUCUUAAUAUAUAUAUAUAUAUAUAUAUAUGAAAAUGCAUCAUAUUUGAUAUUGCACAUGGGGAAAUGCAUGAAUUGUCGAUAUGGAAAAAUGAGCAUCUUUUAUUUAAUCUUUGAUAGGGAAAUUAUGGAUUUUAUGGUAUAUUAGAAAAUUUAAAGAUGCUUAUCUUGUCUUGUUAUGAGGGAAAUUGAUAGAAGAUCUUCUUGACUAGAAUGAAGUUGAAAACCUUACAAACUUUGUAGAAGUUAGAUUAUUUAAGGUUUUUUUGAAACUUCCUAGAUAUGAACUAUAUGUUUCAAAGUAAUGUAACCUAUGAGCUUAUGUGGUUUUAACACCAUGCCAUGUGUGAUUUCUCGAUUUGAUUUCUGUAGUCUUUGUGACAAUGGAAUCAAAUCUAAAUCAGUGCCCUUUCACUUUGGAUGAUACGUUCUUCCCUGUUGCCCAUAGGGGGAAGAGGUUCCUUGAUUGUAUGUGGGUGAGGUUGUUACCCAAGGGGCCAAGAGACCACAUUUACAAAGGUCCUAUUUGAUGCACUCUCUCGGUAGCCCAUGGGGGGAGAGAAAAACCUUGAGGGUAUGGGUGGGGCCGCUGUCUAUAAGGCCAAGAGUCUGCAUACCAAAGAGGAUAAUAUAAUGCCAGUUGUGAAUGGGUGGAUCCCCUGACCGGUCUAUGUGGUAGUGUGGUAUAUUUGUGAUAAAUUACUAUAUGUUGGAUUUUAUGGCUUUGGAAUUAUAUUGUUAGUGCUCAGAGAUUAUAAUAUAUAGUUUCAUGGUAUUAUUUUGAGAAACUUUGUGUUUCAUCAUUUAAUCAUUCUUGUUAUAUUAUUAUUGAAAAUGAUCUUGCAGUAUUCAGUUAGCAAUUUCCCAAACUAAAACAUAUUUUGUAAAUUGUUCAUUAUCAUGAAACUUGUAUUUAUGCUACUUACUGGGAGUUAGCUCAUCCUACCCUCUAACAGUUUUUCAAAUUUAUUAGCUAUACCUUAGGUAUGGAGCUUACUUCUUUGGUGAGAAUUAGAGUGCUAUGUUAAAUUUGGAUAUUUUUGCUAUAAAUGGUUGGUGACUUGAUCUUGCUAUGUUCAACGAGACCUUAAUUAAUCCUAUUGGAGGUGGAUCGCUUGAGGUUUGUUAGCCCUUGGCGUGGUAGGCCUAGGCUCGAUGUUAAGGUCCUUAUUCUCGAUAAGAUUGUGACUGUGUAAUUUAAUCAAAUUUUUGUAAUAUAUUCAUGUAUUAUGUGGGGGCACAUGAUUUUUAGUUAUUGUUCGUAUAUGUGUUAUAGAGCUCUGACUUGUAAUGUGGCAAUUUUAGCAUGGUUGUAUAUUCAUAUCCUUUGGAAAAGAAAGGAAAAUAAAGAUCUUCUAUAGUUUGAUUUGCCAAGAAGGAAAAAAUCUACAGGUACCAUUGGGAUGUUUUUCUCAUACUUUGGACCCUUUUGGGUUUGGGGUGUGACACUAAUAGCUUGAGUUUUACAUUAAAAUUUUAUUGGAAGGAAGAAUGACCUAUUUGUAGAAGUCGGAGUUUGUUAUGGCAAGCUUAUAAUGAUUCUAUUCCAAUUAGGCUCUAAUGCUUUGGGCGUGCAAAACAAUUGGACUUCUCACACUGUAAAUGCCAUCAGACCACACUAGUGAUGCGGAUAGCCUUGAGUUAACUGGCACACUACCACUGACAGAUACAACAAAAGAUUUCUUCUCAAGUACGGCCUUGAAUUCUAAGCAUAAGGAGGACACUUCUGCCACCUACCCUAUCUUACUUGACGAACCCGAGUUGGAGGCUGACCUCGAGCCCCUUUUUGUUUAUAACCCCAUGAGUGAGAAGGUUACUGUUGCCAUGGGCACACCCAUGGAGGGUUUCUUUGAUGGGGCGGACAUUAUGGUUAAGGCCAUGUCCUCUGCUUCUGCUACUACACAGGGAGCUCUUGCCGAUGCCUUGAUUCCUUCUCCCAAACCUAGUCCUGUUGAGCAAAGUGCCUAGACCGAGAAGGUUGGUGAGUUUGCUCCUAUUCCAGCCAAAACUCCCACUCCUUAGAAAGGAUUCACUCUUGCUGGUGCACCUUAGACUGGGAGUGCUUCUCCUGCUACUCCUCUUGUCAUCUCUACUAGUAAUCCCUUCGCUGUCCUCUCUCAGGUCGUAAAGGAUGGCUCCUCCGUGGUGGUCACUCCUUCAUCUAUUCCCAGUUCUGCCACUCAUGGGCUUUAUGUAGAUUCGUCUUCUAAUGAGGUAUUUGAGGAGGUUCUUGAGGAUUCUAAGGACGAGCUUGUCAUGAAGAAGAGGGUCUCUACUUCUGACGAGCAUGAUGGUGGUGAAUGUGAGACUGAGGCCACAGCCAUAGAUAUUCCUGAAGAGCCUAAGACUGUGACAGACACUGUGAUGCCUACAACCCCCACUUUUGCCACACCUGUAGCCCCCACUCCUACAUGUCUAGUUCUUGCUAGAUCACCUGCGAGAGAUUGAUUGAGCCUUUUUUACGAAGAAGGUUCAACCUGCAGUGGACACCAUAGAUGCUCUUAUCGAGAUUUUGAAGGAGGUGACAGACUUGGAGGCACGUCACGAGCGCCUUCUUUCUGGUGUUGCUGGCCCUAGUCACUUUGGAGACCAGACCCUCAUUUUAGGCCUUUCAUGAGACUUAUUACGUUGUGUAGUUCCCUGUUUAUUUCCUUCCCCUAUGUUCAUCUUCUUCCCCUUUUCAUCCUACCCAGCACACUUCCUUGUUUUCUCUUGCACUUAUUUGAUAAGUCUGACAUAACUUAUAUAUUUUGGCUUUGUAGUCUAUUAUGCUACAUCUACUAUGGUUAUUACUAUGAUUAUGAUACACUAUGUUUUUGCUAAUACUACAUAGUUUUCAUUA